UGGAUUCCCUGCACAGGAACUAUAUUUUUUGUUGUUACCGUAUUUUUUUUCCCUUGUAGCUCCAGAUACCAGACAAGGUGCUAUACAUCCUGGUCUGGCAGGACUUGGUCCGAAACCCUCCCUCCUGGCUUGUUCCUUUUUUGCAGAGAAAUUCUUCAAAGAUCCUGGCGCUUAAGGAAGACACAGGCCGUGGCGGCCAGCGCCCCCAACCUGUCCUCCUGCCCCCGAACCCCUUUACCCAGCUCUGCAGAGCGGCAUGGACGAGGAACUCCUGUCUCCGCCACCGUCCCAGCCCCCUCCCACUAACACCCAGUAACAACCCUUUUCCCAUUCCUACCCCUGCCCCUGACAGUGGUGUAGGUGCAGUGGACUCAUGCCCCGAGCGCCACCAAAAGGCUCCACAGUCUCUCCUCUCGGGUGGCAGGACCCUGGACGAGGCGGGAUUCAGCCCCUUCACUGGCGGCCGUUGGCCACUAGUGAUUUGAAUAACUGGAGAAAGCAGAAUGCUAAGUUCUCGGAAACCCAUCAGACCGACCCUCCUGGACAGCGCUGUCUACCCGCAGCCCGCCUGGGACGACCGUGGACAGUGGCUGCGCACCCUCCGCGACCAGGAGAGGGAGCGCAGCCAGACAGACGGAGGGAGGUCGGAGACCCUGGGGAUGGCGGCGGCGGCGGCCCAGACCGAUCCAGAUAUAAUGAACAGCGCCUUUCCUCUGAGCCGCCCAGACAGGACCAUGGGACUGCAUACGGCUGAAGGCAGGCACCUUGGAACCUACCCAUUUGGCCCGGGUAUACAGAGUUCAUCAGGGUUAGGAGGAAUCUCCAGGCGGCUGUUUAGAGAGGUUACUGGAGGCCUUUAGACAGUCCACCCCCAGAAACAGGAAAACCGGCGGCAGUAGUGAUGCCUUUGUAAAGCAGUGAGCGCCAGACAUUAGAAGAAAGUUACAGAAGCUGGACGAUUUGGAAGGGGAAACCAGGACUUGCUGGCCACAGCCCAGAAAGUGUACAACAAGCGGGACUGGCCAGAGGACAGACAAGUGAAGGCGACCGGGGAGAUGACCAAGUCCUGGUAACAGCAAUAAGCGGCAGCGACACCCUCCCCCCACCAGAGGACCGCCAGAGGGUAAGAGGAGCCCUGCGGGAGGAAGGCAGGAUCUGCAAAAGAAUCAGAGUGUCUAUUGCAAGGGAAUAGGGCACUGGCUCAAGGACUGUCCCAAGGGGUGGGGUUGUGGCUCAGUGGUAGAACACUUGCCUUGCAUGUGUGAGGCACUGGGUUCAAUCCUCAGCACCACAUAAAAAUAAAGGGAAAAAAAAAGGUAUUGUGUUAUUAAAAAAAAAAAAGACUGUCCCAAAAGGUCUAGGGGCCAAGGAGAGGGGAGGUGCCUUUGCCCUAUUCUAAGCAUGAACAACCCAGAUAGUGACUAGGAGAGUUGGGGUUCGGCUCCCCUCCUCGAACCCAGGGUGACUCUUAAGGUGGAGGGGACUCUGAUAGACUUUCUGGUUGGUGGACGCUGGAGCUCAGCAUUCCGUCCUGUUGAAACUCCAAGGAAAGUUACCAGGAAAGACAUCCUGGGUACAGGGAGCUACUGGAAUGAGCCAAAUUCAUGGACUACCCGAAGGACAGUGGACCUAGGCAUGGGCGGGGUAUCCCACUGGUUCAUGGUGAUCCCAGAAUGCCCCUACCCCUUGUUGGGAAUAGACUUACUUACCAAAAAGCCCCAUCCAGGUAUUAACUCUUGCCCUGGAGGAUGAAUACUGGCUUCACCAGCAGCUGGUACCCAUUAAUGAAAACAUACAUUACUGGCUGCAAUCCUACCCUGAGGCUUGGGCAGGGUGGGGGGCUGGCAAAGCACAGGCCUGCAAUCUUCAUCGAGUUAGAACCUGGCGCAGACCAGUCAGGGUUUGACAUUACCCAGUGUCCAUGGAAGCCGGAGUGGGGAUAACAUCCCUCAUCCGGUGUCUGUUGGAAUUGGGGGUGCUGAAACCCUGGCAGUCGGCCUGGAACACUCCUUUGCUGCCAGUCCACAAGCCCCAGUCAGAUGACUGUCAGACAGUACAAGACCUGAAGGAAUUAAACAAGAGGGUGAUGGACAUCCACCCAACUGUCCCCAACCCAUACACCCUCCUGAAUGCACUUCCACCAGAACGGCAGUGGUACACUGUCCUGGACUUGAAGGAUGCUUUUUUCAGCCUGCCCUGGCACCCAAAAGCCAGAAAUUGUUUGCCUUUGAGUGGACAGAGGUUGAGAAAGGCAUCAGUGGACAACUAAUCUGGACCAGACUCCCCCAAGGAUUCAAAGACUCUCCAACCAUCUUCGAUGAGGCGCUGCAUGAGGACUUGGUGAGUUCAGAACAGAACACCCUGACUUAACCCUUUUGCAGUAUGUUGAUGACUUGCUGAUUGCCACCAAGACCAGAGAGGAAUGCAUGCCGGGACUAAGGCCUUACUCAGAGCCUGGGAGGCGUGGGUUAUCUUGCUUCAGCUAAAAAAGGCCCAAAUCUGGAAGCCAGAGGUAACUUACCUGGGCUACUUGACAAAGGAAGGACAAUGGUGGCUCACGCAAGCUAGAAAAGAGACUGUGCUAAGAAUUCCGAGGCCCCAGACCCCGCGUCAGGUGAGGGAAUUCCUGGGGUCAGCAGGUUUCUAUAGAUCGUGGGUCCCUAGCUUUGCUGAGCUUGCAAAGCCCCUCUAUGAAGCCACUAAGGAAGGGCAACAGUUUCAGUGGACUGAGAAAAUGGAUCAGUCUUUUAACCAAAUUAAGACUGCCUUGCUGUCAGCCCCUGCCCUUGGACUCCCUGAUGUCACUAAGCCCUUUCACCUGUACAUUGCGGAGCACAAGGGAGUUGCCAAGGGAGUCCUGACCCAGUAUCUGGGCCCAUGGAAGAGGCCAGUGGUGUAACUGUCGAAGAGGCUAGAUCCUGUGGGGGCCGGAUGGCCACCUUGUCUGAGGAUGAUUGCAGCCACCUCCCUGAUGGUGAAAGAUGCAGAUAAGCUGACAUGGGACAAGAACUGUACAUCCCCACACCCCACACAGUUCAAGGGGUGCUGAGGCAAUCACUGGAUCGAUGGCUCAGCAACAUCAGACUUCCUCCCUUCCAGGGUUUGCUACUUGACCCUUUCAGAAUCAAUUUCCAGACACCCUCAGCACUCAACCCCUCGACCCUGCUACUGGACCCAGACUUGGAGACACCUCUGCAUGAUUGCGCAGGAAUUUUGGCUCAGGCUCACGGCAUUCAGCAUUUGAGAGGACCUUAAGGAUCAGCCUUUACCUGAUGCUGACCUCUUGUUGUCCAGGUGAUAAGCCUGGAGCUUAUUGACCUCUGUGGUUCACGGAUGGAAGCAGCUUUUUCUGAGCUGGUCAGUGCAGCGGUAGUGACUGAGACCCAGGUGAUCUGGGCUCAGCCUGUACUAGCUGGGACUUCCACCCAGAGAGCCCAGUUAGUGACACUGACCUAAGCAUUAACGCUGGGUAAGGACAAGAAGCUGACUGUGUACACUGACAGUCGCUCUGCUUUUGCCACUGCCCACAUACAUGGAGCCAUCUGUAAGGAAAGGGGGAUCCUGACCGCAGAAGGGAAGGCUAUUAAAAACAAAGAAGAAAUAUUAGCCCUAAUUAUUGCCCUGUGGCUGCCAAAGAAAUUAGCCAUUGUCCACUGUCCAGGGCAUCAGAAUCUCAAAGACCCUGUAGCCAGAGGUAAAAACCUGGCUGACAAGACGGCCUGGGAAGUUGCCCUUCGCAGGGAUCCUGUCUUAGUAACCAACCUUCCAGACCCAGGACCCAGACAGCUACCAGACCUUCUCCAAUAUACUAAAGAAGACCUGGACUGGAUUCAUAAAUUACCCAAGAAUGGUACCGGGUGGCGGAAGACCAAGUCACACUACCUGAAAGAAUGGGAGAACAGCUAUUGCUAAAAAUGCACCAGACCACUCACAUGGGCACUAAAAGAUGCAAGACCUGGUAAGACACACCAAAAUAAAGAUUAAAGAUGCACAUUCUAAGAUUGAUCAGAUUGUAGCUAGUUGCAAAGCCUGCCAGCUGAGAAAUGCAACCCAGCGUGAGGUCAACUCAGGAUCACGACAGAGAGGUGAUGAGCCUGGAGCUUAUUGGGAAGUGGAUUUCACUGAGGUAAAACCAGGAAAAUAUGGUUAUAAAUAUCUGUUAGUUUUUAUAGAUACUUUUUCAGGAUGGGUUGAAGCAUUUCCCACCAAGCAUGAGACAGCACUGAUGGUGGCAAAGAAGCUACUAGAAGACAUGCUGCCCAGGUAUGGCCUCCCGGUAAUGAGAGAGUCAGACAAUGGACCAGCUUUCAUUUCCAAGGUAAUUCAGAGCUUGGCUAAUGUUUUGGGGACCAACUGGAAACUACAUUGUUCAUAUAGACCCUAAAGUUCAGGACAUGUAGAGAGGAUGAAUAGCCUCUAAAAGAGACCCUAACUAAAUUGUCCAUGGAGACUGGCAGUGACUGGGUGGCUCUCCUUCCCUAUGCCCUGUGUAGAGUGCAGAACUCUCCGUACAAAAUAGGACUUCCCCCUUUUGGAAUAGCGCCCCCUUUGAUUCCCAAUUUACAGUCUGACUGACUUGCUGAAUUUGAGGAUUACCAGCUUUUGCAAUCCCUCAGGGCCCUGCAGCAGGCCCACCAAGAUGUGUGGCCACAGCUGAAGGCCCUCUAUGAGACUGGACCACCUCUGGAACCUCACCGCUUCAGGCCAGGAGCCUGGGUGUUCCUUGAGAAUUGAUCAUGUCUAUGGCAGUGCCUAACAUUAAGGAUUGUCAUUUUCUUGAUCAAGAACCUAAGAACGGGGGCUGAGGGUGUGGCUCAGCGGUAGAGCACUCGCCUUGUACAUGCGAGACCCUGGGUUUGAUCCUCAGCACCACAUAAAAAUAUAUGAAUAAAAUAAAGGUAUUGUGUCCAACUACAACUAAAAAAUAAAUAUUAAAAAAAAAAGAACCUAAGAACCUAUAGAGUGAAAUUGUAUUGAGUAAUUUGAGUGAAUAAGGCAUUGAAAGGGCAGAAGUGUGUGGACAUUCUUUAUUUCUCCCCUCGACUGCGUAUGUUGUAAUUUUGCCCCCUCAGGACACCUGAAAAGACCAAAGAAUGUUUGAGGCCUAAGGCCUGACUGUGAGAACCCAAGCAACCCCCUAGCAUCAGCCCAUCAGAGUGAGACAGAGAAGAUAUCUGGAAUGCCAGGCGACCCCCAGUGGUCUCAGUGAUUGAUAACAUGUUAGGAAACCGUGUAGCUUAGAAUGUACAUCUUUGCCACUCCUCACAGCUUAAACCAAUCAGUUUAAAUGUAUCCACCCCUUGUACUAGCCAAUCACACUUACCCGACAACUUGUUCCCGCCAAUGAGUGUGCUCAUCAAUGUUAAGAAUUGUUUGAUUUUCCCGCGGUAGGGAAUGAUUUGCUGUGUGAUAUUAGAGUAUCUCCAAAAACCUAUAAAAUCUCACUGAACAAAGGACCAGGACUCACUCCUCAGAACCGCUGCAUCAGAAACGGUUGUGAGUCCAGGCUCGAGUUGCAAUAAAGACUCUUGUAUGCUUGCAUCAGAUUCAGCCCCUGGAAGUCUUUCAGGGUCCCUAAAAUCCAGCAUUACACCAGCCCUAUUUAUUUAUUUAUUUUGGUACCGGGAUUGAACUCAGGGGCACUCGGCCACUGAGCCACAUCCCCAACCCUGUUUUGUAUUUUAUUUAGAGACAGGGUCUCACUGAGUUACUUAGCACCUCACUUUUGCUGAAGCUGGCUUUGAACUUGUGAUCCUCCUACCUCAGCCUCCUGAGCCACUGGGAUGACAGGCGUGGCCACCAUGCCCUGCCCUUUUUAUUCUUUUAUUUUGAGACCUGGCUAAAUUGCUGAAGCUGGCCUCGAACUUGAGAGCCUCCUCCUUCAGUCACUGUACCUGGCCUCUUUUUUCCUAAGAGGAGCUAAGCCCAGAGACAAGGGCUAAUGCCUGCCUAAGUCAGAGGCAAUGCAGGGACAGAAAGUUAGUGACUGGGCCUCAGGAAAGAGAAAACAAGAGGCAGACCCAGGACAGGCACUGCGGAGGGCCUCAGAGGUUCUUGAGGCGGAUCUGGUGUGAUGUGGGACAGAUGAGGCUGGACCCCCACAGGAUAAUCAGGAAGCAGGUUUAUUUACGCUGCAGCAGUCCACAGGGGAUGGUGCCUAAACCUCUGGACCUUGGGUCUGGAAAUCCUUUUAAAUUUAUGCCCAGUGGUGGGGCUUAUAUUCUAGUGGGUGGUGACAUGGCAGGUACCUUUUGUCCCAUAUUCUUAGGCUACACAGAGGCUUCACAAGUUUUUACCACGAACACAGAAUAGUAAUUUUGUACAGCAACACGCUCAAUGGCAGACCUAGGUUUUACAGGAAAGUGAAGCCUGGCCUAAGCUGCAAACCACUCGGAGCUGUCUGAAAACUCCUGUGAAACCCUGUUGACACUCUUUGUAAAAUCUUGCUGAUAAGAACCUUAAUUGUGUGGAAUGUCCCUGCAAAAGCUUAAUUAGGACUCUUUUUUUUUUAACAUCUUUAUUUAUUUUUAUUUUUUUUUAGAGAGAGAAUUUUUUAAUAUUUAUUUUUUAGUUUUCGGCGGACACAUCAUCUUUGUUUGUAUGUGGUGCUGAGGAUCGAACCUAGCACCCCGCGUAUGCCAGGCGAGCGCGCUACCACGUGAGCCACAUCCCCAGCCCAGGACUCUUUGAUGGAGAAGGGGCUCCUGGUAGCUGCAUCAGAAGGCACUAGAUUUCCACUGGAAGAAAAAGGUGAAUUCAGGGGCUGGGGAUAUAGCUCAGUGGGUAGAGUGCUUGCCUUACAUGCACAAGGCCCUGGGUUCAAUCCCAGGUGAAAAACCAGCCUCUACCUCAGAGCAAAGCCUGUCCAAGGAAGGGGGCAUGACCCUUGUCCUUGGAAAGACCCACAGAGCACUCCUAGGCACAUACCCACCCUGCUGAGUUGUUUGUCUGUAAAUAACAGGAGAGGUCUGCGGUGCCAGGUGUCCCUGACUCAGUCAGGCUAGGUGAGGACCCAUAGUAACUCCCUAGCAACCACCUCUCAGCAUGAGACAGGGAAAUACCUGGGACGCCAGAUGACCCUCCCAGUAGUUUAUGGUGGUUGAUAACGUGUUGGGAAACCAUGUAGUUCAGCACGUACACCCCUCUUGGCUUAAACCAAUCAGUUCAAAUGAAUCCCCCUCUUGUAGUAACCAAUCACCCCUACCCAACUUGUUCCUGCCAGUGAAUGUGCUACUCAUGUUUUAGAGUUGUUAUUUGAUUUUCCUGCGGUGUGUGAUGAUUUGCUAAGAGAUGCUAUGAUGUAUGUGAAGUCCCUGCCUUCCCCAAAGAGUGUAUAAAACUGCUGCAAACCCUGGGCUUGGGCCUCUCAGCGUCACCAGUUGCUGUGUGCACACGCGGAGGACCGAGCUAGCUCCCAAUAAAC
rnacentral:lncRNA from 1 species